ACUCCUACGGGAGGCAUCAGUGAGGAAUAUUGGUCAAUGAGGGAACUCUGAACCAGCCAUCCCGCGUGUAGGAAGACGGCCUUAUGGGUUGUAAACUACUUUUAUACAGAAGAAACGUACCCUCGUGAGGUGCCUGACGGUACUGUAGGAAUAAGCACCGGCUAACUCCGUGCCAGCAGCCGCGGUAAUACGGAGGGGUGCGAGCGUUAUCCGGAUUUAUUGGGUUUAAAGGGUCCGUAGGCGGAUUAAUAAGUCAGUGGUGAAAUCCCAUCGCUUAACGAUGGAACUGCCAUUGAUACUGUUAGUCUUGAAUGAGGGUGCAGUGGUUGGAAUGUGUAGUGUAGCGGUGAAAUGCAUAGAUAUUACACAGAACACCGAUUGCGAAGGCAGAUCACUAACCCUAAAUUGACGCUGAGGGACGAAAGCGUGGGGAGCGAACAGGAUUAGAUACCCUGGUAGCUACGAG
rnacentral:rRNA from 1 species